rnacentral:rRNA from 1 species
GAUGAACGCUGGCGGCGUGCCUAAUACGUGCAAGUCGAGCGAACAGAUGAGGAGCUUGCUCCUCUGACGUUAGCGGCGGACGGGUGAGUAACACGUGGAUAACCUACCUAUAAGACUGGGAUAACUUCGGGAAACCGGAGCUAAUACCGGAUAAUAUAUUGAACCGCAUGGUUCAAUAGUGAAAGACGGUUUUGCUGUCACUUAUAGAUGGAUCCGCGCCGCAUUAGCUAGUUGGUAAGGUAACGGCUUACCAAGGCAACGAUGCGUAGCCGACCUGAGAGGGUGAUCGGCCACACUGGAACUGAGACACGGUCCAGACUCCUACGGGAGGCAGCAGUAGGGAAUCUUCCGCAAUGGGCGAAAGCCUGACGGAGCAACGCCGCGUGAGUGAUGAAGGUCUUCGGAUCGUAAAACUCUGUUAUUAGGGAAGAACAAAUGUGUAAGUAACUAUGCACGUCUUGACGGUACCUAAUCAAAAAGCCACGGCUAACUACGUG